rnacentral:misc_RNA from 1 species
CUUUCAGAAGUUUUCUCUCUCAUGAGAGACGCAAAUUCAAACUUUAUUUCCAAUGCAAUUAGCAUAAAGAUUGCUGCAUAAAGGCCAAGCAGUGAUGUCCUCGCUCCUUCAACUGCUAGUAGUGUUGUGAUCAUCUGCUCUUCCUCUCCCAUAUCUCUAACGCUGUCUCCUAAAAUGCUGUUCAACCUUACUUGCCCUUCCAAAAGAUAUGUCACAGGGAAUAGGG